rnacentral:lncRNA from 1 species
UCCAAUGCUCAAAACCUCAGUUUCAUAAGAAACAAUUCAUCAGCUAACAUACUUUUUUUUAAUGUACAGGAUGUUGAUUUCAUCAUAUUUAAAAAGAAGGAAAUGAAUAGGGUGAAGAAAUCUCAUCAUAUAAUCUCCUCUCCAAUUCACACUCAUAUAAGGUGCUACUACUGCUCAUAAUUUACUACUCCCUCCAUCCGAAAAUAUAAGAGCGUUUUUGACACAAUCGUAGUGUAAAAAAAUGCUCCUAUAUUUUGGGACAGAGGGAGUACAAUGCAUAUAAAUGAUCAAAUUGGCAUGUUGUAAGGACUGAAAUGAGAUAAUUAUCUUUUUUUAGUUUUUUUCUUUUAUGAUCAGAAGUUGUUUGCUUCUGCUUAUUGAUAGAGAUAAUUAUUCCCUAUGAAGCAAACAAGCGGAGUGAGAGGAUGACGAGGCGUAAAUGGAGGCGGGGUCGGUCCGUCGUUGUGGCAGUCCAGGAGCACCACGGGGUUGCCGGCGACCCGUGUGCCGCAGGCAGCUGUUGGGAACGUCGAGCCACGAGACAACCUGUUGGCGUCGGACCCACAUCAGCGUCCCCAACUCCCCAUUGGCGGCACAUCCAUCCCCGCCACCACGUGCUGCCCUCCACCUCCUGCCCGUCGGUCCAUCAAUUUGAUCUCCUCAACAUAGCCGAUGAGCGAGUGCUGAAGUGUCCACAACGGCACAACCUAGAACGCGCGGCGAGAUCCAGCGACACCGAUGUGGAGGGAGGCGUCACGAGAGAUUGAAGCAAGCCUUGGUGGGGCUUCCCUGUUGCUGCUGCGAGAAGCAGAAGGAGGCGGUGUUACGUAGAAACGAAAUUUGUUUGUUUGCUUGAGUGAAUAUAUAUGUCUAAUGUAUACAAAAAAAUCGGUUAUGUGUUAAAAAUUUGAAGUAUGUGGUUGUUGGUUUAGUUGAGAUGGACACGCAGGAUUGUGGGCCACAUAUGCCAUUGAUGGAUGAGAGAGGCCGAGAGAGUGGAUGAGGAACAAGAAGAUAACAGUUUUACCGGUAAAAAUAAUAAUGAUAUAUUCUCAUGUGCACAAGAAUUAUAUUCCAUAAAAAUGAUGUUGAACAG